UACAGAGGUGGCAAGCGUUGUUCGGAAUUACUGGGCUUAAAGGGUUUGUAGGCGGCCAUGUAAGUCAGGUGUGAAAUCCCUCGGCUCAACCGAGGAACGGCGCUUGAUACUGCAUGGCUUGAGGGAGACAGGGGUAAGCGGAACUGAUGGUGGAGCGGUGAAAUGCGUUGAUAUCAUCAGGAACACCGGUGGCGAAGGCGGCUUUCUGGACAGGUACUGACGCUGAGACGCGAAAGCGUGGGGAGCAAACAGG
rnacentral:rRNA from 1 species